CGCCUUUUUCUACCCAAUCUUGUUUCGAUCUUAAUUGGGCGCCUUUAGCUUUAUAUUCAUAAUGUUUUUCUAACUGAUUUUCAAUUUGAUUUAUUUUUUGCAAAAUAUCGUUGUUUUCAUUUUUCUGAUAUUUUUCAGUUAAGAUUGUUAAUUUUUUUUCCAUUUGCUUUAUUUCAUUAUUUUUAUUGUAAGCUCUACUUUUGCAAUAAUUUAUUGUAAACAGUUUAAUAUCAAGUUUAAUCGCGUCCCAAAGAAGAUGCACAUCCGUAGUUGUGUCUUGCAUGAUUGUUUUGUAUUUUGCAAUUAUUAUUUCUAUUUCU
rnacentral:lncRNA from 1 species